ensembl:snoRNA
AGCACUUGUAUGUGUUUGUUGAAAUGGUGGACAAAGACAACAAAGACAAGCACAAAAAUAAUCCCUCGCUUGAAACCCAGAACUCACUGCUCAGUACGAGUUUUGAUAUAUAUAAGAAGAUAACU